ensembl:lncRNA
GGAGCUGUAGAUAAGAUUAUAUAUAUUAUAUUGAGAGAGGUCCUCAGAGGAAAAUAACAAGAUCUCACUGUAAAAACAUCAGCUACAAUAACAAAGGGAAAAGGCUUGCAAGUGCAUAGAUCUUUUUAUAUGCAAUUUUGGAAAACCAAACUGUGCCUCCAUGAUCUGUUGUAUUUUUGUUGCAGAAUGGGUUUUAACCCAUUUGUAUGGUUUUAGGAUCAAUAAACAUUAUCCAAGACAAGUAUAAAACAAGCAGCACCUCAUGCAGCACAUUCACUGGAAUUUCCAGUGUAUUUAUGCCAUUUUCUGCUGGGGUCACAGGUAGAGCGAUGGUUAGAAAACAAUAUGGCAGGAAACUCCUGAUGCUAAGCAUUUGAGUUAUGUAUCACAGACAGCCUCAAAUUCUCUGACUUUUUAGAUUUAAAUCUUCUCAAAGUUUUCCUGAAGAUUUUGGCACAUUUUCUGCAAGAUAUGCAUGACAAAGACAGAAGAGUCAUGGAGGACUCACGCCCUCUGUUAUUGUUUAAAUGCUGACGCUUAAGGUUUAAAUUUGCAAAGAACGAAUCAUUCUACAUCAAAACUAAGGUGCUGCAUGUUUAUUUACAGACCAAGCUCCAGUAGUAAUGUGUAUUCGUCAUGUGAACUGAUUUGAAUUGAAUUCUAAACCCUGUUUUGCACCAGGAAAACAUGAGCUUCAUUUUACUUGUCUCUGUUUUCAAUUAUAAUUUGACAAAAGAAAUAACUGCGCUACCUAUUUGAUUUGCCAGAACUUUAUCCCAGCACCACCUGUUGAGCCCUCGGCGCUCAAAUCCUGACAUAUAGCAGAGAACCAAAUUAUGCAGUUGGCACACUGACUAGUAAGGAUGCCAACAAAAGCAUAAUACAUCCUUUGUACUCAAAGUACAACAAAAUAUAUAUUAAGCUACCAACUGCAAAGGUUUCAGAAAACCACAUUUAAUUAUACAGGAACAUAUCUUUCCAACAAAUAACUCAGUAGAAAAAUGGCAUGGAAGUUAGAAAGGACGCUUCUUGUAUGAUUUGCACAGGUAAAUACUGCAAGCUUAAAAUAAAUGAAGUUUCACAAUACCUUAGUAGAUUUACGUUAGAGAUGGCAAGGGGAUAGCCAGCUAGUUUAUACAAACAGAUGUAUUCAAGACUAUCAACUUCUCAGUUUAAAUAACAUGUCCCACGUUCAUUUCUGGUGGGGUAGCUGACCGAGCACAGCAGAAGGACUCUUAGCACUCAUCCCAAUCAAAUCCCUUCUAUUGCCAGUGACUGGGGCUGAAGUAUUAAAAAUCAGCUGUGUUUCCAAAGUUUACUUCUUUAAAGCACCUCUUUGUCACAAAAGUCCUCACAAUUGCUUUCCUAGAAGAAGGAUAGAUGGGUCAGAUUUUCAAACACUGCACUUUGUUUGGUCUUUGCCUAGAUGGAGAGAGCGUAGCUGAAGGUAGGGGAGUAGGACAGGAGGAGAAAUAAAGAAAAAAAGGGAGAAAUAAUGCUCUAUAACCUUAGGAAGAGUAUCAGUCUAUUUAUAUGCUUCCUGGAAUGCUCAGAACAUUUAGUCUUACUGGCCACAAGAAACCACUUCUGUUGUGCAAAAGGUUUCACACAUGAACUUAAGUGAAGUUGUUUUUUCAAGGCACAGUGGGAAGGAAAAAAAAAUACCCAAUAGCUUUGUGAACAAUGGAGAGAAAUUGGCCUGUUGACCUGGUAAAAAACAUUCUGAAUUUAAAGAAACAAAACAAAACAAACAAACAAAAAAAACCAACAACAAGGAAAACAGUCAUCCACCACAACCUCCUUCAGAUUAUUCUCUUGAAAGUCACCUCUUCUGUUACAAGGAAAGAAAAUUGCCACCUAAACAUGCUUAGGUAUGUAAGCAAAGUACAAUUACUGCUCUAGAAUAGUGAAAAAACUGCACGCACUUUUUUUUGUCAGCCUGU